rnacentral:rRNA from 1 species
UACCAGCACCCCGAGUGGUCGGGACGUUUAUUGGGCCUAAAGCAUCCGUAGCCGGUUCUGCAAGUCUUCCGUUAAAUCCACCUGCUUAACAGAUGGGCCGCGGAAGAUACUAUAGAGCUAGGAGGCGGGAGAGGCAAGCGGUACUCGAUGGGUAGGGGUAAAAUCCGUUGAUCCAUUGAAGACCACCAGUGGCGAAGGCGGCUUGCCAGAACGCGCUCGACGGUGAGGGAUGAAAGCUAGGGGAGCAAACCGG